UACGUAGGGAGCGAGCGUUGUCCGGAAUUACUGGGUGUAAAGGGAGUGCAGGCGGGACUGCAAGUCAAAUGUGAAAUGUAGGGGCUCAACCCCUGAGCUGCAUUUGAAACUGUGGUUCUUGAGUGAAGUAGAGGUAAGCGGAAUUCCUAGUGUAGCGGUGAAAUGCGUAGAUAUUAGGAGGAACAUCAGUGGCGAAGGCGGCUUACUGGGCUUUAACUGACGCUGAGGCUCGAAAGUGCGGGAAUCAAAC
rnacentral:rRNA from 1 species